UUAUCAACAAAUCACUCACGGCUCUUGGAAAUGUUAUCAAUGCCCUAACUACUGCUAAACCAAAUCACGUGCCUUACCGUGACUCGAAGCUUACACGCAUACUUCAAGAUGCACUGGGUGGCAGCUCAAGAGCUACAUUACUAUGCUGAUGUUCUCCUAGUUCGUCGAACGCACCAGAAAGUCUGUCUACCAUUCGCUUCGGAACCAG